rnacentral:rRNA from 1 species
AACGAACGCUGGCGGCAUGCCUAACACAUGCAAGUCGAACGAGACCUUCGGGUCUAGUGGCGCACGGGUGCGUAACGCGUGGUAACCUGCCCUUAGGUUCGGAAUAACUCCCCGAAAGGGGUGCUAAUACCGGAUAAUGUCUUCGGACCAAAGAUUUAUCGCCUUUGGAUGGGCCCGCGUUGGAUUAGCUAGUUGGUAGGGUAAAAGCCUACCAAGGCGACGAUCCAUAGCUGGUCUGAGAGGAUGAUCAGCCACACUGGGAAUGAGACACGGCCCAGAAUCGGACGGGAGGCAGCAGAGGGGAAUAUUGGACAAGGGGCGAAAGCCUGAUAAAGCAAUGCCGCGUGAGUGAUGAAGGGCUUAGGGUUGUAAAGCUGUUUUACACGGGAUGAUAAUGACAGUACCGGGAGAAUAAGCUCCGGCUAACUCCGUG